rnacentral:rRNA from 1 species
AGAGUUUGAUCCUGGCUCAGAACGAACGCUGGCGGCAGGCCUAACACAUGCAAGUCGAGCGCCCGCAAGGGAGCGGCAGACGGGUGAGUAACGCGUGGGAACGUGCCCUUUGGUUCGGAAUAUUCCCGGGAAACUGGGAGCAAAACCGGAUAAGCCCUUCGGGGGAAAGUUUACGCCAAAGGAUCGGCCCGCGUUAGAUUAGGUAGUUGGUGGGGUAACGGCCUACCAAGCCUACGAUCUAUAGCUGAUCUGAGAGGAUGAUCAGCCACACUGGGCCUGAGACACGGCCCAGACUCCUACGGGAGGCAGCAGUGGGGAAUCUUGGACAAUGGGCGCAAGCCUGAUCCAGCCAUGCCGCGUGGAUGACUGAAGGCCCUAGGGUUGUAAAGUCCUUUCGACGGGGACGAUAAUGACGGUACCCGUAGAAGAAGCCCCGGCUAACUUCGUGCCAGCAGCCGCGGUAAUACGAAGGGGGCUAGCGUUGUUCGGAUUUACUGGGCGUAAAGGGCGCGUAGGCGGAUUUUUAAGUCGGGGGUGAAAUCCCGGAGCUCAACUCCGGAACUGCCUUCGAUACUGAAAGUCUGGAGCACGGUAGAGGUGAGUGGAAUUCCGAGUGUAGAGGUGAAAUUCGUAGAUAUUCGGAGGAACACCAGUGGCGAAGGCGGCUCACUGGACCGUUGCUGACGCUGAGGCGCGAAAGCGUGGGGAGCAAACAGGAUUAGAUACCCUGGUAGU